UACGGAGGGUGCAAGCGUUAUCCGGAUUCACUGGGUUUAAAGGGUGCGUAGGAGGGCAGGUAAGUCAGUGGUGAAAUCCCCGAGCUUAACUUGGGAACUGCCGUUGAUACUAUCUGUCUUGAAUGUUGUGGAGGUGAGCGGAAUAUGUCAUGUAGCGGUGAAAUGCUUAGAUAUGACAUAGAACACCAAUUGCGAAGGCAGCUCGCUACACAAUUAUUGACUCUGAGGCACGAAAGCGUGGGGAGCAAACAGG
rnacentral:rRNA from 1 species